UACAGAGGUCCCGAGCGUUGUUCGGAUUCACUGGGCGUAAAGGGCGCGCAGGCGGCUUGGCAAGUUUGAUGUGAAAGCUCAGGGCUUAACCCUGAAAUGGCAUUGAAUACUGUUGAGCUGGAGGUUUGGAGGGGGGACUGGAAUUCUUGGUGUAGCGGUGAAAUGCGUAGAUAUCAAGAGGAACACCAGUGGCGAAGGCGAGUCCCUGGACAACACCUGACACUGAGGCGCGAAAGCGAGGGGAGCAAACAGG
rnacentral:rRNA from 1 species